GAAGGUCAUUUCAAAGAGGGCUUGUUGGGC
rnacentral:piRNA from 1 species